GGGUGUGCUGUUCCUUAGGCUGUCGAGGCUGUCUCCUACCAGACAGAAACCGAGGUCCCAGGAAGAGGAGGGGAGAGUUUCGGAGCCAAAUGUUUUUCCUCCAACUAGACUUUACACCCGCCCCAACCAGCUGCCCCAGUCUUAACGGACUUUGAUGUGUCUGAGCUUUAAGAAUCCUUAUUCUACUUUGUAACUCCAAACCCUAGCAACUUCCUCAUGUAAGACCAAGUGCCAAUGAGCAAGGAGCAGCUGCUGCAGCCAUCACCAACAGAGGAGCAUCUUCAUCCAUUAACCCUCAGCGUGCCUACUGUGUGUCUGUGCCUGAUACAGAGAUGGCACCGAUCCUUAGGACUUGGAAAAGGCUGAAAAUGAAGGAAACGAAGUACAUGAAAGAGCUGAGGCUGGCAUGUAAGGAAUCUGAGUCUCUUGAAGCUCCUUGGUCUCCAUGAGUCCUUUAGAGAUGCUAAACGAGGCAUAACUCAUCUUUGACAGUCCAGGAAGGUCCUGCUUCUCUCAUGAUUAAGAGAACCAUCUACUUCAGUGUGUCUACACUAUCGGUGGAACAUCCAGUGUAUAUGGUCCUUAUAGUCCAUCCAAGACCAAUGGACCACAGGGUAGACCCACAUUCAAACUUGCAGGGUUGAACCUAGGUCAGAGAGAAACCC
rnacentral:lncRNA from 1 species